AGAUCAAGCUACAAAGGGCGCACGGUGAAUGCCCUGGCACUAGGAGCCGAUGAAGGACGUGAUAAGCUGCGAUAA
rnacentral:rRNA from 1 species